rnacentral:siRNA from 1 species
UCAGAUUGUGCUAGAUUUUCGA